AUGUAUCACGCGUCCACUGCGGUUCUGAGCGCGCCGUCCGCGCCUACCUGACGACUGCUCGUACGUUUUGUUAGCC
rnacentral:sRNA from 1 species